GUGCCGAUCGGGUACUGCCUGUAGUCUAACCGUUGUUCGUGACCGCCGAUAGGGGCGAUAGCGCCACCGCGAUUGUAUCGAAACAGACACAUCACGUCCGUUCAUAGUGUUGACAGCAGUCGUGUGUGUGUUGGGGAUACGCUUCCCGAAGUCGUCGCUCAGCCAUGACGAUGCUGCCGCUGCUCCCGAGGGACAUCCACGUGCCAGAGCACGCCCUGGCGCGCCGCGGCGCCAUCUGCUUCUUCCGGGAGGUGGCCAAGGUCCGUCCCCACCAGCAGAGACGCGGGGGAAUCUCCGUAGAACGAACGGACCAAAAUGCCAUCUUCAUCCGUAUGGUCGGUAAGUGAACGAUUAUUUAUAAAUAGCGUACAAACAUAAUCUUAUGACACGGUUGUGCCCUAAAAACAAUAAUAAUGUGCUUCGGACCACCUCUGAAAUUUUUGAAAAUUUUGUGAUUUGUAAAGAAAGCUCCAUAUGAAGUUUAGUAUGAAAAAACUGAGUAUCUACCACUGUAUAUUUGAAAGUGUCUUGGCUUGGCACUAUUAUACUCAUUUUAUAUACUCCAACGCUUUCACAGUUUUGUGUGGAAAACAUUGUGUG